rnacentral:tRNA from 1 species
GUACUGGUAGUUGUGUGGUAGAGUUUUUGCCUACCAUGUAGAAGAUCUGAGUUCAAGUCUCAGCUGGGUCA